rnacentral:pre_miRNA from 1 species
UUCUGCCUCCCCUGAAGGCUCUGUUGUCACUCUGGGCACUCCAUCGGAGGCAGACAC